rfam:Thalassobacter arenae DSM 19593 genomic scaffold Contig343, whole genome shotgun sequence.
UGCGAUGUAGCUCAUCUGGUAGAGCAGUGGACAUUUAAUCCUCGUGUAGCAGGUUCGACUCCUGCCAUCCCAC